AUACGUAGGGGGCGAGCGUUGUCCGGAAUGACUGGGCGUAAAGGGCGUGUAGGCGGCGCUGUAAGUCUGGAGUGAAAGUCCCGCUUUCAAGGUGGGAACUGCUUUGGAUACUGCAGUGCUCGAGUGCGGAAGAGGUAAGUGGAAUUCCCAGUGUAGCGGUGAAAUGCGUAGAGAUUGGGAGGAACACCAGUGGCGAAGGCGACUUUCUGGUGCGUAGCUGGAGCUGCGACGCGCAAGCGUGGGGAGCGAAAAGGAUUAGAUAACCUGGUAGUCCACGCGGUAAACGAGGAAUGCAAGGUGUAAUAGGUAUCGACCCCUUUGGUGCCGGAGUUAACACAAUAAGCAUUCCGCCUGUGGAGUACGGCCGUAAGGUUGAAACUCAAAUGAAUUGACGGGU
rnacentral:rRNA from 1 species